GUUCCUGUAGUUAAAUUCAUAACGGCGGCUUUUCAGGCCGCAGAUCUCAGGUAAAAGCUGGGUAGGAAUA
rnacentral:tRNA from 1 species